rnacentral:rRNA from 1 species
GAUGAACGCUGGCGGCGUGCCUAAUACAUGCAAGUCGAGCGAACGGACGAGAAGCUUGCUUCUCUGAUGUUAGCGGCGGACGGGUGAGUAACACGUGGAUAACCUACCUAUAAGACUGGGAUAACUUCGGGAAACCGGAGCUAAUACCGGAUAAUAUUUUGAACCGCAUGGUUCAAAAGUGAAAGACGGUCUUGCUGCCACUUAUAGAUGGAUCCGCGCUGCAUUAGCUAGUUGGUAAGGUAACGGCUUACCAAGGCAACGAUGCAUAGCCGACCUGAGAGGGUGAUCGGCCACACUGGAACUGAGACACGGUCCAGACUCCUACGGGAGGCAGCAGUAGGGAAUCUUCCGCAAUGGGCGAAAGCCUGACGGAGCAACGCCGCGUGAGUGAUGAAGGUCUUCGGAUCGUAAAACUCUGUUAUUAGGGAAUAACAUAUGUGUAAGUAACUGUGCACAUCUUGACGGUACCUAAUCAGAAAGCCACGGCUAACUACGUG